rnacentral:rRNA from 1 species
GACAGAGGUCCCGAGCGUUAGGCGGAAUCACUGGGCUUAAAGCGUGUGUAGGCGGAUCGUUAAGUGCCUUGUGAAAUCCCAUGGCUUAACCAUGGAACUGCUUGGCAUACUGGCGGUCUUGAGCCACUUAGGGGCUACCGGAACAAAUGGUGGAGCGGUGAAAAUGCGUAGAUAUCAUUUGGAACGCCAAUGGUGAAAACAGGUAGCUGGGAGUGUGCUGACGCUGAGACACGAAAGCCAGGGGAGCGAACGGG